rnacentral:lncRNA from 1 species
CUAAUUGAUAGGCACUUAGUUUUCUGUAGAACAAGCGGUCGAUAUGCAGCAUCAAUCAAGGUAAAAGGGUAGUCACGGCCUGUGCUAUAAUGCACAAAAGCUCUCCACCCCACCAAAAAGUAAAAAAACCGUGGUGCCUGCUUGUGACACAUAGGGCUUGCUUUUCGUGAUUACUAUGAAAUAGAUGGCGGACUCAAUUCAUCAG